GGCCUGCGGGCUGCCUAUACAUGCAAGUCGAGCGAACAGAUGAAGUGCUUGCACUUCUGACGUUAGCGGCGAACGGGUGAGUAACACGUAAGGAAUCUACCUAUAAGCGGGGGAUAACAUUCGGAAACGGGUGCUAAUACCGCAUAAUAUCUUCUUCCGCAUGGAAGAAGAUUGAAAGACGGCUCUGCUGUCACUUAUAGAUGACCUUGCGGUGCAUUAGUUAGUUGGUGGGGUAAUGGCCUACCAAGACGAUGAUGCAUAGCCGACCUGAGAGGGUGAUCGGCCACAUUGGGACUGAGACACGGCCCAAACUCCUACGGGAGGCAGCAGUAGGGAAUCUUCCGCAAUGGGCGAAAGCCUGACGGAACAAUGCCGCGUGAGUGAAGAAGGCCUUCGGGUCGUAAAACUCUGUUAUAAGAGAAGAACAAAUUGUAGAGUAACUGCUACAGUCUUGACGGUAUCUUAUCAGAAAGCCACGGCUAACUACGUGCCAGCAGCCGCGGUAAUACGUAGGUGGCAAGCGUUGUCCGGAUUUAUUGGGCGUAAAGGGAGCGCAGGUGGUUUCUUAAGUCUGAUGUGAAAGCCCACGGCUUAACCGUGGAGGGUCAUUGGAAACUGGGAAACUUGAGUACAGAAGAGGAAUGUGGAACUCCAUGUGUAGCGGUGGAAUGCGUAGAUAUAUGGAAGAACACCAGUGGCGAAGGCGACAUUCUGGUCUGUUACUGACACUGAAGCUCGAAAGCGUGGGGAGCAAACAGGAUUAGAUACCCUGGUAGUCCACGCCGUAAACGAUGAGUGCUAGGUGUUGGAGGGUUUCCGCCCUUCAGUGCCGCAGUUAACGCAUUAAGCACUCCGCCUGGGGAGUACGACCGCAAGGUUGAAACUCAAAGGAAUUGAAGGGACCCGCACAAGCGGUGGAGCAUGUGGUUUAAUUCGAAGCAACGCGAAAACCUUACCAAGUCU
rnacentral:rRNA from 1 species